rnacentral:tRNA from 1 species
AACGAGGUGGCCGAGAGGUUAAAGGCGUUGGACUGCUAAUCCAAUGUGCUCUGCACGCGUGGGGUUCGAAUCCCAUCCUCGUCG